AUUGAACGCUGGCGGCAUGCUUUACACAUGCAAGUCGAACGGCAGCGCGGGGCAACCUGGCGGCGAGUGGCGAACGGGUGAAUAAUACAUCGGAACGUACCCAGAAGUGGGGGAUAACGUAGCGAAAGUUACGCUAAUACCGCAUACGUUCUACGGAAGAAAGUGGGGGACCUUCGGGCCUCAUGCUUUUGGAGCGGCCGAUGUCUGAUUAGCUAGUUGGUGAGGUAAAGGCUCACCAAGGCGACGAUCAGUAGCUGGUCUGAGAGGACGACCAGCCACACUGGGACUGAGACACGGCCAAGACUCCUACGGGAGGCAGCAGUGGGGAAUUUUGGACAAUGGGCGCAAGCCUGAUCCAGCAAUGCCGCGUGAGUGAAGAAGGCCUUCGGGUUGUAAAGCUCUUUUGUCAGGGAAGAAACGGCUGAGGUUAAUACCUUUGGCUAAUGACGGUACCUGAAGAAUAAGCACCGGCUAACUACGUGCCAGCCGCCGCAGUAAGAC
rnacentral:rRNA from 1 species